AAUUGUGCUUAACACAUGCAUGUCGAACGAACUUUGGUAUUGAUUGGUGCUUGCAUCAUGAUUUACAUUUGAGUGAGUGGCGAACUGGUGAGUAACACGUGGGAAACCUGCCCAGAAGCGGGGGAUAACACCUGGAAACAGAUGCUAAUACCGCAUAACAACUUGGACCGCAUGGUCCGAGUUUGAAAGAUGGCUUCGGCUAUCACUUUUGGAUGGUCCCGCGGCGUAUUAGCUAGAUGGUGAGGUAACGGCUCACCAUGGCAAUGAUACGUAGCCGACCUGAGAGGGUAAUCGGCCACAUUGGGACUGAGACACGGCCCAAACUCCUACGGGAGGCAGCAGUAGGGAAUCUUCCACAAUGGACGAAAGUCUGAUGGAGCAACGCCGCGUGAGUGAAGAAGGGUUUCGGCUCGUAAAACUCUGUUGUUAAAGAAGAACAUAUCUGAGAGUAACUGUUCAGGUAUGACGGUAUUUAACCAGAAGUACGUUAUGCCCG
rnacentral:rRNA from 2 species